GAUGAACGCUGGCGGCGUGCCUAAUACAUGCAAGUCGAGCGAACGGACGAGAAGCUUGCUUCUCUGAUGUUAGCGGCGGACGGGUGAGUAACACGUGGAUAACCUACCUAUAAGACUGGGAUAACUUCGGGAAACCGGAGCUAAUACCGGAUAAUAUUUUGAACCGCAUGGUUCAAAAGUGAAAGACGGUCUUGCUGUCACUUAUAGAUGGAUCCGCGCUGCAUUAGCUAGUUGGUAAGGUAACGGCUUACCAAGGCAACGAUGCAUAGCCGACCUGAGAGGGUGAUCGGCCACACUGGAACUGGGCCACGGUCCAGACUCCUACGGGAGGCAGCAGUAGGGAAUCUUCCGCAAUGGGCGAAAGCCUGACGGAGCAACGCCGCGUGAGUGAUGAAGGUCUUCGGAUCGUAAAACUCUGUUAUUAGGGAAGAACAUAUGUGUAAGUAACUGUGCACAUCUUGACGGUACCUAAUCAGAAAGCCACGGCUAACUACGUG
rnacentral:rRNA from 1 species